AGAUUUUUUAAGUAAGAUUUCCAGGAAUGUGAAAACAUUCCACAAACCACACCUGCUAAAGGGUGUUGAUUAUAGCUCCCAUUGUUCUUGUUGUUUGCUUAUUAUAUCCAUCCUCUUUUUUUCCUUCACUCUGUCAUUCGUUUCUUUCAUCUGUAGAUGUCUCCUUCAAAGUCAUUGAGACAAGAUUCCACUUCUGGAGAGCUGCUGCUGUUGCAGAAACUAGAGGAAGUUGGAAACUCUGUCAAGAAAAUUCAGACUUUAUUCGAGGAGCAACAAUCUCAUACAGCAGAAUCUACAGAUUGAAGUUUGUGAAAAGUUCAUGUAACCUACUUUCCAGGAGUGUUGAAAUGGUGACCACAUGCUAUCUUGAGGGUUCAAGAAUAUUUUGAUUCAUAGAAAGACUAAUCUAUGUUAGAACUUUUAACUUUUGGUUGAACUUAUGCAAGACAUAUAACUUGUAGAACUAA